UACGUAGGGUGCAAGCGUUGUCCGGAAUUAUUGGGCGUAAAGAGCUCGUAGGCGGUUUGUCGCGUCGGCUGUGAAAACUCGGGGCUCAACCCCGAGCCUGCAGUCGAUACGGGCAGACUAGAGUGCUGUAGGGGAGACUGGAAUUCCUGGUGUAGCGGUGAAAUGCGCAGAUAUCAGGAGGAACACCGGUGGCGAAGGCGGGUCUCUGGGCGGUAACUGACGCUGAGGAGCGAAAGCGUGGGGAGCGAACAGG
rnacentral:rRNA from 1 species